CCACGAGAAGGAUUCAAGGUUGAUUCCGAUGAAUACCUGUAGAGGCCUAAUACGUGUGCGGCUUAAGGACUUUCAAAUUCGAGAUCAUUGGUAGCGGUGAAUUUCUACCCGCGCAAAGAUAUUAAGAUUUGAUCUCAUCUUUGAUUUUAUUUUCAAAUUAUAUGCAUAUCUUUAUUCCUGGGCUUGGGUAGGAUUAGAUGAGAUCUAAUGCAUGUGGGGUUAAAAAAUUUAAUCCGAUUUGUUUUCCGCUGCUCUUGAAAAGAUUUUUGAAAUCUAUGCAUGCAUCUUAUCCGAUUUUCUAACAAUGGUAUCAGAGCCAGAUUUUUAAAAACAUAUAUAAUCUGAUUUUUGUCUUAGACCUGAAAGUUUUGUUGAUUUAAAAUUGAUCUUGUGCUGGUAUAAGAUUGUCCUGAUAUAGGAUUUACCCUCUAUAUUGAAAAAAUUAUCCUAGCACAAGAUUGAUCGAUUUUGAGAACUGUUUUUCAAACGAUUAAAUCAAUCUUUUAGAUCUGAAAAAUUGACAUAUGUGAUAUGUCUUAUUUCAUAUUUAGAUAUGAAAUUAGAAUGAUUAAAUAUUCACAUCAAACUAGUAUAAGGUUGUCCUAGUAUAGGGUUUACCCCC
rnacentral:lncRNA from 1 species